rnacentral:rRNA from 1 species
GACGAACGCUGGCGGCGUGCUUAACACAUGCAAGUCGAACGGAAAGGCACUGCUUUUGUGGGGUGCUCGAGUGGCGAACGGGUGAGUAACACGUGAGUAACCUGCCCUUGACUUUGGGAUAACUUCAGGAAACUGGGGCUAAUACCGGAUAGGAGCUCCUGCUGCAUGGUGGGGGGUGGAAAGUUUCGGCGGUUGGGGAUGGACUCGCGGCUGAUCAGCUAGUUGGUGGGGUAGUGGCUUACCAAGGCUUUGACGGGUAGCCGGCCUGAGAGGGUGACCGGCCACAUUGGGACUGCGAUACGGCCCAGACUCCUACGGGAGGCAGCAGUGGGGAAUAUUGCACAAUGGGCGGAAGCCUGAUGCAGCAACGCCGCGUGCGGGAUGACGGCCUUCGGGUUGUAAACCGCUUUCGCCUGUGACGAAGCGUGAGUGACGGUAAUGGGUAAAGAAGCACCGGCUAACUACGUG